CCUCUGCAUGCAGACUCAGACCUUUCCUCAUAGAGAUGCAUUCAUUCAAUUCAUCUCUAUGAGGAGAUGUUGAUUGGCCAGGACUGUGUUUGACUUGUGCAUGGCUCUGCCCCUGGUCUGCCUCCUUGACAAUCCCAAUCCUAAGAGGGAAGCAUUGUGAUUGGCUCAAACCACCACUUUUGAUGAUGUCAGCAGACAGGGCCUGAAGCAGCAGUUGCAGACUUGAAUACAAGUAAGAUUUUACUAUAUUUAGGAACGCAAGAGGGGGCCAGAUGGUGGUUUUAACACUAUAGGGUCAGAUAUACAGGUUUGUGCUCCAGACCCUAUACUGCUCCUUUAACGAUCUUCAUAACUAAUGUUGCGGAGUAAAUCUACCAUAAUGCUCUUACAGCCAUAAAGCUGACAAAUCAUCUGGGAAGAUGGGGUCCACAUCUGGAGUGCAGAAGGUUUCCAACC